AACGAACGCUGGCGGCAUGCCUAACACAUGCAAGUCGAACGAGACCUUCGGGUCUAGUGGCGCACGGGUGCGUAACGCGUGGGAACCUGCCCUUAGGUUCGGAAUAACUCCCCGAAAGGGGUGCUAAUACCGGAUAAUGUCUUCGGACCAAAGAUUUAUCGCCUUUGGAUGGGCCCGCGUUGGAUUAGCUAGUUGGUAGGGUAAAAGCCUACCAAGGCGACGAUCCAUAGCUGGUCUGAGAGGAUGAUCAGCCACACUGGGACUGAGACACGGCCCAGACUCCUACGGGAGGCAGAAGUGGGGAAUAUUGGACAAUGGGCGAAAGCCUGAACCAGCAAUGCCGCGUGAGGGAUGAAGGCCUUAGGGUUGUAAAGCUCUUUUACCCGGGAUGAUAAUGACAGUACCGGGAGAAUAAGCUCCGGCUAACUCCG
rnacentral:rRNA from 1 species